rnacentral:rRNA from 1 species
AUCACUCCAACCCCUGUGACAUACCUUAAUGUUGCCUCGGCGGAUCAGCCCGCGCCCCGUAAAACGGGACGGCCCGCCAGAGGACCCAAACUCUAAUGUUUCUUAUUGUAACUUCUGAGUAAAACAAACAAAUAAAUCAAAACUUUCAACAACGGAUCUCUUGGUUCUGGCAUCGAUGAAGAACGCAGCAAAAUGCGAUAAGUAAUGUGAAUUGCAGAAUUCAGUGAAUCAUCGAAUCUUUGAACGCACAUUGCGCCCGCUGGUAUUCCGGCGGGCAUGCCUGUUCGAGCGUCAUUUCAACCCUCAAGCCCCCGGGUUUGGUGUUGGGGAUCGGCUCUGCCCUUCUGGGCGGUGCCGCCCCCGAAAUACAUUGGCGGUCUCGCUGCAGCCUCCAUUGCGUAGUAGCUAACACCUCGCAACUGGAACGCGGCGCGGCCAUGCCGUAAAACCCCAACUUCUGAAUGUUGACCUCGGAUCAGGUAGGAAUACCCGCUGAACUUAAGCAUAUCAAAAGACCCGGAGGAAGGA